CGGUAGGCUCAGAAGUCGUUUACACCCAUCGACAUGAAGUUUCUUCUGAGGACGCUGUUUGUGGUUCUGUGUAGCCUGCUCUUCACUCUUGCUGGUGCCGCUCCUGGCGUUGUCAGCGACAGCAGUGAAGGACGCAGAACCCUCUGCAACAUAGGACUUCCGUGCAGUGAUUCCAGAUAUACAACACAUGAACCAGAGAUUAUAACAAUUGCCGACUGCAGUAAAGGUCCAUGCUGAAGGAGUCACAAAUGCUGCCAUGGGGAUCAUUCAAGGAGACGACUGGCCACUCCCGGCCGCUAAGUGUGAACAUAUUACUCUUACUUACAUUUUGCGAGCCUCAUGAAAUUUUAUCAUAACGAAAACCACGAGCUAUACAAGAAACAUUCCCCAGUUUUAAUAAAAAUAUCUACCCUGCCAUUCCAUAGUAACAUUUGUGUCAACCGUAUGAUCAUAUAAACACGAUACACUACAAGCAAUGAAGAAAUUAUGUAACUGACUGUUGUGUGUAGGCCGUCUCAAUGCCUGAGUCUAUAAGUGUUAACACCCAUUUGCGGUCUGUUCGCGUAUCUCUAUGGUUGUGGUUACAAAAGCAACGACUGUGGUAACACAGACGGACAUAUACAACGAUACAUCGUCGCCUUAGAUUUUCUUUAUUUUUUUCCCUGACUUGCGUUCUGCAACUCUACUAAAAUAUCUAGGUGUAUGCCCGUUUAACAUGUAACCUUACGAUGCAGACGUACCACAAGCCCGCUCAAUUAUAGAGCGUGCUUUCUGGGUGCUACAUAACUGACCAAUAGAGCCAUAUUUCGUUUCAAACAUCCCUAGUGAAUGUAGAAACAGUUUUAAGUCCUAAAAUAAUUGCAUUUUUACAGUACUUACAACUAGACGAUAUCCUACAUGUGUUCUCAUUUCAUGCUUAAUCUCCUAUACUUACCGUACUGCAGGUCUCUACGUGCCACUGCUGUGUAUAGAGCAUAGAAUUUCAAGCAGUUAUACCCAGACCGUACCAAUCUGUUUGUACAACCGCGAAUAAAAACUACCAUAAAUUCUGUUCAGUUAGUUAGAGUUUUAAAAUAAUUUAUUUGUGAUACUAAAAAGAGUCUGGUUCAUACUGUGCUACAUUAGGUGUACUUUGGUGUAAUCGUAGUUAUUUUACACUCAAAACAUUCUCGAACGCAACAGAAAGAUGAUGUAAUAUUACACUUGCCAAACAGUGGCCUGGCCUGGAGUAAGUAUGUGGACGCAAAUGUACAAAAUUUUACAGCUUGAAACCGCUUCGUUUCUACCUCUAUAAUAGCAAUAUUAUGUAUUUUAUUAAAAUCUUUUAGUCGUAUUGCAAAUAUUGGAAAAGUUAUAUAAUUAUUUUUCACGUCCAGGCAACACCAUCAUCUUGCCCUACAACUGACAUGCACUCAUUUUAUCUCUACUACUGAAUUUAUUCUUAAUGGUAUUUACAAAAUUAAAAUAUUUUUAAAUUUUUUUUA